rnacentral:rRNA from 1 species
GAUGAACGCUGGCGGCGUGCCUAAUACAUGCAAGUCGAGCGAACAGAUGAGGAGCUUGCUCCUCUGACGUUAGCGGCGGACGGGUGAGUAACACGUGGAUAACCUACCUAUAAGACUGGGAUAACUUCGGGAAACCGGAGCUAAUACCGGAUAAUAUAUUGAACCGCAUGGUUCAAUAGUGAAAGACGGUUUUGCUGUCACUUAUAGAUGGAUCCGGGCCGGAUUAGCUAGUUGGUAAGGGAACGGCCUACCAAGGCAACGAGGCGUAGCCGACCGGAGAGGAGGAGCAGCCACACGGGCACUUAGACACGUGCCAGACUCCUACGGGAGGCAGCAGUGGGGAAGCUUAGUCAAUGGGCGAAAGCCUGAUGCAUCCAUACCGCGUGAGUGAAGAAGGUCUUCGUGUCUUAAAACCCUUUUAUUGGGAAAGAACAGAAGCCGAAGAAUACCUCCCUGUCCUGACGGUACCCAAUGAAUAAGCACCGGCUAACUUCGUG